rnacentral:rRNA from 1 species
AUACGGAGGGGGCAAGCGUUGUUCGGAAUUACUGGGCGUAAAGGGCGCGUAGGCGGAUUAUCAAGUCAGAGGUGAAAGCCCUGGGCUCAACCUAGGAACUGCCUUUGAAACUGAUAGUCUUGAGGCCGGAAGAGGAUGGCGGAAUUCCCAGUGUAGAGGUGAAAUUCGUAGAUAUUGGGAAGAACACCAGUGGCGAAGGCGGCCAUCUGGUCCGGUUCUGACGCUGAGGCGCGAAAGCGUGGGGAGCAAACAGGAGUAGAUACCCGGGUAGUCC